CUCGUCAGCUACCUUCCAAACUCUCUCAACGUCGCAACUCGCAAGUCGAUCGCAACCACUCCCGGCUCUGACCGUCGCUGUCCACCCACAUCCGCCCACCAUGUCGCUCAUCCGCUACUUGCCGUCGCCGUAUCUUCCCCUCCCCUCUGCCGCGGUCCGCCGCCGUGGAUUCCUCCGCUCCGCCGCGCCAUCCGGUGCCCGUGCCGCCGCUGUCCAUGUCCUCGCCGCGAACCGCGUCGUGCUGGGGUGCGGGCUGGUGACGCUGGACUACCUGGCCACGGUGGACGCGUACCCGCGGCCCGACGACAAGAUCCGCAGCGGGGAGCUGCAGAUAUCGGGAGGCGGGAACGCCGGGAACGCAUUGACAGGCGCUGCUCGUCUGGGCCUCAACACAAGGCUCAUCUCCAAGGUGGCCAACGAUGAAAUAGGAGGAACUGUUCUUUCGGAACUCGAGGAAGCUGGGAUUGACGUGUCACAUGUUAUAAUCUCUGAUGGUGGAAACACAACAUUUGUUUAUGUCAUUAUUGAUAAGAAAACGAAAACCCGAACAUGUAUAAUCACGUCAGGCUACCCUCCAAUGGUUCCUGGUGACAUAUCAGUGUCAAAUUUGUCAGCUGCACUACAAGAUGUUAACUUGCUAUACCUAGACGGAUAUUCACAUGAAAUGGCACUAUCUGUUGGUAAGCAGGCUGAUCUAAUGAAGAUCCCAAUACUGGUUGAUGCGGAACCAGAAAGAACAAAGACAGAACUGGGGCAUCUGCUCGACCUAUCGAGUUACAUUGUCUGUUCGGGUAAAUUUCCAGAGAAAUGGACAUCAAUUUCCUGCAUUCCUUCUGCACUACUAGAGAUCCUUGUGCAAUAUCCCCGUGCGAGGUUCGUCAUUGCAACCCUUGGAGAAAACGGGUGCAUGAUGCUUGAGAGGAUCGAAGAUGAUUCUGGAAUAGAUGCGGUAGAUAUUGGGAAUGUUGCUGAGUCCUUAAGGCUUAAAGUGCAUAAAGAUGACAAUCUGCCAACUUGUGUAUCAUCCAAGUUCAUGAGACUCUCUGGAAGAGGGCAUGGGACUAUACACGGAAGAUUGCUCAUAGGAACAGCAGAAAAAAUCCCCGCUCCAGAGCUUGUUGACACCACCGGUUGUGGCGAUGCGUUCAUAGGAGCAGUGCUCUACGGGCUGUGCACAGAGAUGGCUCCGGAAAAGAUGCUGCCUUUUGCCUGUCAAGUGGCAGGCAUCAAAUGCAGAGCCAUCGGCGCGCGCACCGACCUACCGUGGCGAUCCGAUGCCCGCUUGUCCAAGUACUUGCGUGAGGCACCCUGAAAGAAUUGUGUGGGAAAAAAGGAACGGCUUGGAGAGGAUGCAACAUGUUCUUGGCUGUCCACCAUGGGAGUGGACUGAAACAUGCAUGAUAUAUGGUGCGGUACAAGUGUCGUCGUAAAUAGCUCGCGUGUCAAUGCCAUAUACGUAUGUUUGGUUGAAUAAAAUCCGUCCGUGAUGUGGGAAUUUCCUGAUUUGUUAGUUUAAACAAGGCCCACAAUUUAUGCAGCGCAUAUGUGAAAUUCUUGUGUUCUAUCCAAGAAUUUGG
rnacentral:rRNA from 1 species